rnacentral:rRNA from 1 species
UGGGGAAUAUUGCACAAUGGGCGCAAGCCUGAUGCAGCCAUGCCGCGUGUGUGAAGAAGGCCUUCGGGUUGUAAAGCACUUUCAGCGAGGAGGAAGGGCAGUGUGUUAAUAGCACAUUGCAUUGACGUUACUCGCAGAAGAAGCACCGGCUAACUCCGUGCCAGCAGCCGCGGUAAUACGGAGGGUGCAAGCGUUAAUCGGAAUUACUGGGCGUAAAGCGCACGCAGGCGGUAUGUUAAGUCAGAUGUGAAAUCCCCGCGCUUAACGUGGGAACUGCAUUUGAAACUGGCAAGCUAGAGUCUUGUAGAGGGGGGUAGAAUUCCAGGUGUAGCGGUGAAAUGCGUAGAGAUCUGGAGGAAUACCGGUGGCGAAGGCGGCCCCCUGGACAAAGACUGACGCUCAGGUGCGAAAGCGUGGGGAGCAAACA